AAGCCGUUUAACGGAGCUGCUUACUGUGGACCAGCGAGGCGUGGGCAGCGCGGAACCCGGGCCUGGGCCUCCGCCUGUGCAGGCCGCAGGGCCCCCUCAGCAAGGCACCCGGUCCCCAAGAUGCUGAGCUUCUGGAAGUCGCUCCCACUCUGUGGGGCCUCAGUGCAGGCCCGGCGGCUUCUGGCCUCGGGGGCCCAGUCCGCACGAAGGGCAGCACCCGGACAGCAGGGACUCCAGUGAAGGUCAAUAUCAAAUGCUGCCUGGGACUGGACCUGGGCUACCUGUUUGGAGCUACAAAGCAACCCACCCGUUGUGGCUGUCUCGGCUAGGAUUAGGUUCGCAUGGGAGGGGCCAAGAAACAUACAAGGCCAGCUUCUGCCAGUACGGAGUCUGAGCACGUCAGCAAAAGGCUCAAGAAGCAGAGCCAGCUCCAGCUUCGACACGUGUACUAGUACAUGCUGAGGAGCCAGAUGCAGGGGCAGAAGUAGACUCCUGCAGACUUGGAAGAACGUCCAACUCAUGGUAGUGCUACCUCCAACAGUUGCUCCAGAGCUGCAACCAACACUAACAUCCAUUCCAGCUGCAACUAUGGAGCAGGGCCUGGCAUGUGGAGCAUCUCCUGAAAGGGUCUAUGACCUAACACAGGACCCACCAUCCUUGCCAGGGGAAAUUUCACCUGAGCCUGCCAGAGAUAAACUGA